UACAGAGGGUGCUAGCGUUGUUCGGAAUUAUUGGGCGUAAAGAGCUUGUAGGCGGUUUGUCGCGUCUGCUGUGAAAAUCCGGGGCUCAACCCCGGACUUGCAGUGGGUACGGGCAGGCUAGAGUGUGGUAGGGGAGACUGGAAUUCCUGGUGUAGCGGUGAAAUGCGCAGAUAUCAGGAGGAACACCGAUGGCGAAGGCAGGUCUCUGGGCCACUACUGACGCUGAGAAGCGAAAGCAUGGGGAGCGAACAGG
rnacentral:rRNA from 1 species